rnacentral:rRNA from 1 species
GUAGGUGGCAAGCGUUGUCCGGGAUUAUUGGGCGUAAAGCGCGCGCAGGCGGUUCUUUAAGUCUGAUGUGAAAGCCCACGGCUCAACCGUGGAGGGUCAUUGGAAACUGGAGAACUUGAGUACAGGAGGGGAAAGCGGAAUUCCACGUGUAGCGGUGAAAUGCGUAGAGAUGUGGAGGAACACCAGUGGCGAAGGCGGCUUUCUGGUCUGUAACUGACGCUGAGGCGCGAAAGCGUGGGGAGCAGACAGGAUUAGAUACCCUGGUAGUCCACGCCGUAAACGAUGAGUGCUAAGUGUUAGGGGGUUUCCGCCCCCCUUAGUGCUGCAGCUAACGCAUUAAGCACUCCGCCUGGGAUACGGCCGCAAGGCUG